AAGCUACCCAUUUGAAUUGGAACUCCCCGUUUCACCUUCUUCCAUCUUGUCGUUUUCCCACUUCGUGUCGAGCAAGAGCAAGAGCAAGAGCAAAGUCAUCCUCCAUCGAACUGCCAUCUUCUUCAGUGUCGUCGACGAGAAUUACCAGGGUGUAGCAAGAUAGACUUGUCAUUACAAUGAAGGGCAGAGGUAAUGGAAAUGACAGAAAUGUUAGUGGUGGUAAAGGUAAAGGUGGAAAAGGGAAAGCUGGUGUGAGUGGUGGUGGUUUGAGUGGUGUUGAAGUUAAAGGAGGCAAAGGGAAAGCUGGUGUGAGUGGUGGUAAAGUUAAAGGAGUUGGGGGAAGACAUAAAUUAGUCAUCGAUAUAUUCUAUGAAUUUGGUGAUUCAAUUUCUCUAAGAACCUCUGAUUCUUCCUCUAGAACAAUGUCAGAAUUGGAUUUUGUGUAUGAACCUGAAGUUGAAUCGGAAAGGGAAGUAGAAUCAUAUAGUGCUGUGUGUAGUGCAAAUGUUACUCUUUGUUACAAUAGUGGUGAUGAGGUCAUAAAAGUGUAAAUUGAGUUUUAGGUAAUAACAGUGGUAACAGAGUUAAUAAGUGUAUGUCUAAAGUUGAUAAUGUUGGUUAAUGCAAGUGAAAAAGGCCGAACGCAAAGCGAAGUUAUGGAAACGUAAAUUUGAUCCCAAGGUUUAUGUGGAUAAUACCAAAACUACAGGAGGCAUGGUGAAAGAGGCAGGGAUAGUUAUUGUUUCGGUUAAGAGCGUAUUGGUUCGGGAGAAGAAGGCAAUGAAUGUUAACUGCCUCGUGGAGACAAUAGGUAGGAUUUUAGAUAGCUUCGACGACACAAAGAAGCGUAUAGUUAAAGAAAUGGGGUUUGGGUCCUUGUUUUAUUGUGUUGGGCUGCGACGAACAUUGACGUUGUGACUUUGUGCUAGAGUUGAUGUGAGUACAAGAAGGUUGUUGACUGUUGAUGGGAAAUCAUUUCCGUUGGACGGAGUUCAGGUGUGUUGGGUCUUCCCUAUGGUCCAAGAGCUGUACCUACCAAGGCAGUGGACAAGGAGUUGGUGGAAAGACUACAUGAUACCUAUAGUACAACUACAAGAUGUGGGACAAGAGGCAUUACUAGGAAGACUAUGGUUUAUUAAUUGGAGGCUCCUUGCGUCGAUAAAAGUGAGUUUAAUAAGGUGUUUUUGAUGUAUGUGUUGGAUGCACUUUGUUCAUCAACAUGCCAUUAUUUGAGGAAGAAGUUGCUUAGUGUUGUAGUGGAAGACAAUGCAUUGGAGUAUAAUUGGUGUGAGUUUGUUCUAGAUGAGCUAAUGAAAGAAUUAGAGCAGUUUAGUAAAAGGUUCUAUUCUAAUGUGAGGAUUACAAGGGAUGUUAACACAACGAGUAGUGGUGGAUGUACUUUGUUUUUGGCGGUACGUAUGAGUAUAAAUGCAGUGAAUUAUACUAUAACCUGUAUAGUUGAAUAUGUUAUUUGUAUCUUAAAUUUACAAGUGUUUUAUUUGGACCGCCUUCAUCGCAUUCCUCUCAAGUGGGGGGAUUUUUCUAGGAUUAAAGUAUGGUCUAGGCAGGAGAUGAACAAGGCAAAAUCUAAUGAUCAGCUUGAUUCUGGUGAUUUUGGAAAACGUGGGGUGAGUGUUAAGGGAAUUUUAAAUAUGUUUGUUGUUAUUUAUGGCACUAUUUAAACUUAUAUUAUUUAAUUAUUAAAUGUACUGUAGUGUUUGGAUGGCGUGAUGUAUGGGCAUUGGCACCCAUUUAAAGCUAUAGAUUUGUUGCCUGGUAGGAGGAAAAAGGAUUGUGAAAAUGUAAGUGUUGUGUUGUAAAUAUACCUGUUUGUAUGUAGUUGGUGGAUUAACAUGUGACUAGAAUCAAUGUUAUUUCCAUCACUUAGGUGCUGAAUGCUUUAAUUUGAACAAUGUUCUGGACGAGGACGUUAUAGAGGAAAAUGACCCAGUGGAUGUAGAUGAAGUUGAUUUGGAGAGAAUGACCCGAAAUAUUAAGAGGAGAAUAAAGGCAACGUCUGAUCGGGCGUUUGGUCGGCCGAUAGAUGUUGGAGAGGGGAGUCAACAUGAUCCACAACUGAAAGAGGGUAACCACAAUGUUAAGCGGAGAAGACAGGCAAUGUCGGAUGGGAUGUGUGUUAUGAAGAAAAAGGUUCGACAAGGUAAAGGGACUGAUAAUGCUUCCCAGGCAAGAAGAGGGGUGAGGGAUUAGGUGUUCAAGAGGAGCCUGAAGUUAAUGAAGAGGGUUAUGAUAAUGAACAUGAUGUGAAUGGUUUUGAAGAUUUAAGGAAGACAGUGUGGAAGUUGAACAGGAGGUUAAUAAGGGGGAUGUAGUGAAGGAGUUCAAUGAAAAAGUUUUUCAUGGUGACUAGCUCCAUGUUGUAGUUGAAAGUGAUAAGGAGGAAGAGGUUAACUCAAAUGCUAAGGAAGAGGUUAACUCAAAUGCUGAUGUCCAUCUUGAUACAUUAGUGUGGAAUGUUAAUGCAAACUUACAAAAUACAAGGUAUUUUGUUAGUGAGGAACCACUGACCAUUGAGAUUGGUGGUGGUAAAUACACUGGGUACAAGUAUAAUUUGGCCAAUGAAUAUGAUAGUUUUGUACAUUCAACAGUUUUGAUGCAGUGUACCAAGGGAAAAGUUUGAUAAAUAGUUAGAAGGUCCUGAUAACAUUGGUAGAGAGGACAAUGUUGAAGGAAUUCCACAUGAGUCACAACAAAUUCAGGGGCAGGGAAAAAUUAAUGGAGAGGAGAAGGGAGACGAGAGGAGAGAGGAGAAGGGAGAGGAGAGGAGAGAGGAGAAGACUCAAGAAAUUGGAGGUGCUGAGGCACAACUAAGUGAGGGUCAAGAUAAAAUGAAUGAAGAGGAGAAGGGAGUGGAGAGGGUAGAGGAGAAAGGACUUGAAAAAUGCUGGGAUAGAUGACAAAAAAAAUGGAGGGUCUGGAGGUGAUUUGGGGAAUGCAGAUGAGAAUGGAGAAGCGGCAUGUGUACAUGAGAGGGAAAAUGCAGCAAAUGUGCCACAUGAGGACAUGGUAGAAGAGGUGGGAAAUGGAGAGGAUAAGGUUGGGCAUGAGUACAAAGAAAAUGCAGGGUCUGGAAAUGAAAUGGGGAAUGUAGAUGUGACACAUGUACAGCAGGAGGAAAAUUAGGAUGUAAAUCGAUCGGCAAAUGUGCCACAUCAGGACAAGGUUGAGGAGGUGGGAUUUGGAGAGGAUAAGGUACAAGAAACCGGAAAUGGAGAGGAGAAAGUAGAGGAGAGUGGAGAAGCAGGUGCAAGGCAGAGUGGAAAUGCAGCCACAUCUUGUUGAUACUGUUGCUGAGGAUGUGCUGGUGGUGACCUAAGACUCUAAAGACGAACCGGUGACCCCAACACAUCAGAGGACCGCUGCACAGAAAGAAGCGCUUAAGAGAAAAACCGAGCAAAGUAGGAAACAGAGGAAGAAGAAUGGGGUACCGAUGUUGCCACUUGACUAUGUAAAAAUAUGGAGGCCAAAGUACAUUCGUAAGUUUAGAGAACCAUUGCUCCAGUAUGGUAUGGAUAAUUUGUCGGGAAUACUUAAGGAAUCAGAGAAUGAACCUGUUAUGCUCAGGUUUGAUGGUGAUUAUGUCAAGCUGAAUUUAUGCGAGUUGGUUGUAGGUUGUAGGGGACAGAUGAUGAUCCUCAGCUGUAAUGGAUGGAUGGAUGCGAUUGAGACCAAUGUUAGGGCUUACUGUAAAAGAUUGAAGGAAACGAUCCCUAUAGAGUUAAUGUGGUAUUUAUCCCAGUACUUCGUGAUGGGCACCGGUGGUGUGCCGCUUUUUCGAUGAACAGGGAGGAGGUUAUUGUCAUUGACUCAAUCGAAACAAAGGAUGCUUGUGACAGCAGGAGUGUCGAGAUUUCUCAAUUGGCAACUGCAAUGGAUGUUGCAUUCCAGAGCAUGGAUCCUACUUAGCCAACUAACACCGUUGUCAAUUGGCGUAGGACGUCCCUUGAAAUGGCGCAACAGGGAGACAUGUCGAAGAUCUAUUGUUAGAGAGAUCUUGGAUUCUAUGCGAAUAUGUCCUUUCGGAAUUUAAUGAAGCUAGGGAAGAUGUCCUGGAGUUACUGAAGCCUCUGGUUUUGUAACUUUCACUCUACCUUGUUUAUUAUUGGACAUGAUUCCCAUAUUUUGUUUUUGCCAAAUGGGAAGGUUUUGUGUGCAAAAGGGAUAGUUUUUUUUUUUUUUUUUUUUUUUUUUUUGUGCAUAAUGGAUAAUAUGUUUUGUUGGAGAAGUAAAAUGUUAAUUAUAUUUGUGUUAACUAUUAGUAAUCAGUUUUGUACGUAAACAAUUAAUGAGGCAAAUAACAUGCUUCAAUCUUUAUUUAUAUAUGGAUAGAUCAGCUUCAAUUGUUGCAAAUUAGCAUGAUUAUUGUACCGGAUUCUAGCUGCUCCUACAAACCCUACAACCCUAAAACAAUACAACACUAGCAUUCUAGCUAUGAUACCUGCUUUCUAGCAAAAGAUUACUGCAUUCUAGCUACAAUACUUCAUAAUUCUUGCAUAAAUCCUAUAUUACCACUUAGAUGCUAGCAUAAUUGCUACAAUACUUCAUAAUUCCUACAUUACUAUAUAAUUCCUUCUGAGGACUUCAUCAAUUCUCCUUUUUUUGCUACUCUUUGCUGCUACUCAACCCUAUCCUGUACUCUUUGCUGCUACUCACCCCUGCCUUGCUAAGUUGUAAUAAGCUUCAUUGAACCUGAUGUGGUCACACCUUUUAAACCCUCUAGGUUCAAUGUGAGCCUAGACAACACCUCCAUCAACAAUUCCCUCCUCUGCCACUUAUUUCUUGUCAUUCAAGUCUUCUCCAUUGUACCACAGCCUAACUCUUUGCUCAUCCGCGUUGUGCUUCAUCCCCCAUUUGACGUAAAUAUCUUUCACACGAGCUUGUUUCCUGAUUACGAGUCUGAUACU